ensembl:processed_transcript
GCCUAGGUCCUCUUCUAGGAUUGGUUGUCCACUCAUAACCAUAAGAUAAUUAAAACGGGGGGGGGCAGGGUAAAAAAAAACUUUUAUCAGCCAUAGGUUAAUGCAAGUGUUUAACAGAUGCUUCGCUAUUAAAAUAUUUUUCCCCAAUACUGAAGAAUCUUAAACCAGCAACCCUAACAGAGAUUGCGAAGAUUUUCAAAGUAGGGCACCUCGAUUUCUCAAAUCUGUGGUGUGGCGAAUAUCCGUGUUCCUCCUGCUUAACUAGCCUGUUUGAAGGCACAGUUCAUUCUCGAGCAAUUCGUCACCUCCUGGGGGUCUUCUCUUCCGGUCUACAGGAGAGUGUGACUUCAGAAAGAACUUCGGAUUGGCCAAGGCAGGUCUGAUUCUAUUUUAUUCUAAAGACAGAGUUGGAGAUGGGCUACCAUUGGUGUUGACUGAGAUGUCAAGCAGUCACCUGAAAGGUUCACAGAUGUGGCUAGUCUUGCUAGCCAGCUCGCUCUGUGGAAGUUCUAGGGAUCUGACUGCAGCCCUCAUGCUUGGGAGUCAAACACUUUAACCACUGCACAAGUUUAUGUAACAGGAUUGAAAUAUCAGAAUUAGAGAAAUGAAUGAAAGAUUAGAGUGGGAGACAGUGCUUGCUGCCAAGCUUGAUGACCUAAAUUGAAUCCUGGAACCUACAGGACAGAAAGAGAGAGCUGACUCCUGAAAGAUGUCCUCAGAUCUUCACAUAUGCACAGUGGCACCUCUCCAACCAUGCACAUAGUAUAUUAAAAUUAUUUUUUUUAAAA